rnacentral:rRNA from 1 species
UUGAACGCUGGCGGCAUGCCUUACACAUGCAAGUCGAACGGCAGCGCGGGGCAACCUGGCGGCGAGUGGCGAACGGGUGAGUAAUAUAUCGGAACGUACCCUGGAGUGGGGGAUAACGUAGCGAAAGUUACGCUAAUACCGCAUACGAUCUAAGGAUGAAAGCAGGGGACCGCAAGGCCUUGUGCUCCUGGAGCGGCCGAUAUCUGAUUAGCUAGUUGGUGGGGUAAAGGCCUACCAAGGCAUCGAUCAGUAGCUGGUCUGAGAGGACGACCAGCCACACUGGGACUGAGACACGGCCCAGACUCCUACGGGAGGCAGCAGUGGGGAAUUUUGGACAAUGGGGGCAACCCUGAUCCAGCAAUGCCGCGUGAGUGAAGAAGGCCUUCGGGUUGUAAAGCUCUUUUGUCAGGGAAGAAACGGUUCUGGUUAAUACCUGGGGCUAAUGACGGUACCUGAAGAAUAAGCACCGGCUAACUACGU